UACGAAGGGGGCUAGCGUUGUUCGGAAUUACUGGGCGUAAAGCGCACGUAGGCGGGUAUUUAAGUCAGGGGUGAAAUCCCGGAGCUCAACUCCGGAACUGCCUUUGAUACUGGGUACCUAGAGUAUGGAAGAGGUAAGUGGAAUUCCGAGUGUAGAGGUGAAAUUCGUAGAUAUUCGGAGGAACACCAGUGGCGAAGGCGGCUCACUGGCUCGAUACUGACGCUGAGGUGCGAAAGCGUGGGGAGCAAACAGG
rnacentral:rRNA from 1 species